AAAGUCGUAACAAGGUUUCCGUAGGUGAACCUGCGGAAGGAUCAUUAACACAUCGUCUCUAUGGGUCCUCUUCUUCGGAGGAGGCUCAUGGAAACAUAACCAAACCGCGCUCUUGUUGUACACCUCUCUCUCAUUGGAUUGGAUGACUCUUGGAUGGAGUAGCUGCUGUUCGCUUCUAACCAGGCGAUUCAGCAGAUCCUUGGGUUGCUCUACACGUCCUUUCCUUUGAGACUUAUCGAGACUACUCUGGUCCUUCACUGGACUAACACAUUUAACCCCUUUCACCCUUCUAGUAUACAAUUGUCUUAUUUCCAUUGUGCACGAAAGUGGCAAUGCAGGAUAUACAACGCGAACAACUCUUAGCAAUGGAUAUCUUGGCUCUG
rnacentral:misc_RNA from 1 species